ensembl:lncRNA
CUCUGUCAGUCUGUAUAGUUUGUAAAGUGAUUGACUCCUCAGAGUCCUGAAAGAAAUGGAGCAGCCACACACAUCUGAUACACACUUCACUUCUCAUUAUUGGAUACACACAGAGUUGGAUGCUAUUUUUAUGGCAGUGUGACGUUCCAGAUUAAUGGAUGGGAACACCUACUAAAGAGAAUCACAUGGUCAGUUUGCAUUAACCUUCAACACUGAGGAUUCACAAUAACCGCAUAUCAGCAUGGGACAGUGUGAAAAGAACGAAGACUACCACCCCUUAAACCAUAUGGACAGAAACAGCUGACACAAAUUAAAAACAUUGGAAUCUAUCAGAGAUGGAGCUAAACAAAAGAUGUGUUGCUGCAAACAACUUUUUGACUUUUGGAGAAGGGAGUCAAUUCUACUGAAACUAAAUCGUAGAGGACAGCAAAUCAUGUCCAUGAUUUGAUUUGGUGGGGGUUUUUGUGUUUGUGUGUGUGUGUGUGUGUGUGUGUGUGUGUGUGUGUGUGUGUGUGUGUGUGUGUGUGUGUGUUUUCUUCCCAUAUUGUGAUGAUAUGUAUUUUAUUUGUUUGCUGUGAUCUGUAUGGACCACAACUGUCAGCUGAAAUAUCCCAGUGUGUAACUGUUAUACUCCAUACUAUAUAAUAUACUGUAUAAGUGCUAUUUCACAAACUGAAAUACUGACCAUGUUCAUAUACGAGGUUUUAAACUGAGUUCAUGUUUAUGUUGUGUUUUUAAACACCUCUCUACCCUGCAAAGGAAG